rnacentral:rRNA from 1 species
AGAGUUUGAUCCUGGCUCAGAUUGAACGCUGGCGGCAUGCCUUACACAUGCAAGUCGAACGGCAGCGCGGACUUCGGUCUGGCGGCGAGUGGCGAACGGGUGAGUAAUACAUCGGAACGUACCCUGUUGUGGGGGAUAACUAGUCGAAAGAUUAGCUAAUACCGCAUACGACCUGAGGGUGAAAGCGGGGGACCGCAAGGCCUCGCGCAGCAGGAGCGGCCGAUGUCUGAUUAGCUAGUUGGUGGGGUAAAGGCCCACCAAGGCGACGAUCAGUAGCUGGUCUGAGAGGACGAUCAGCCACACUGGGACUGAGACACGGCCCAGACUCCUACGGGAGGCAGCAGUGGGGAAUUUUGGACAAUGGGGGCAACCCUGAUCCAGCAAUGCCGCGUGUGUGAAGAAGGCCUUCGGGUUGUAAAGCACUUUUGUCCGGAAAGAAAUUGCUCUGGCUAAUACCUGGGGUAGAUGACGGUACCGGAAGAAUAAGCACCGGCUAACUACGUG